rnacentral:rRNA from 1 species
AUGGGGCACACAAAGGCAGCAGUGCUAGUGGUGGUGCUUGCCAUCGCCGUGCUUGGGCUUGCCACCGAUAGCCAGGCGCAGCUGCAGAACGGGUUCUACACGGGCAAGUGCCGCGGCAACGACGUGGAGGCGGUGGUCCGGGGUAUCGUCAAGGCCCGCUUCGCUCAGGACAGCGCCAUCGUCGCCCACCUCCUACGCUUGCUGUUCCACGAGUGCGGCGUCAAUGGCUGCGACGGCGGGCUACUGAUCGACGGCACCGGCACAGAGAAGACGGCAAAGCCGAACCUGAGCGUGAAGGGCUACGACCUCAUUACCAACAUCAAGACGGAACUCGAGAAGCGGUGCCCUGGCGUCGUCUCCUGCUCCGACAUCGAGAUCCUCGCAACCAGGGACGCGGUCAAUGCGUCCACGGGACAGGGAUAUGCGGUGCGCACCGGGCGCAGGGACCGCCGGCGGUCCGUAGCCACUGAUGUGAACCUUCCGGGCCAAGAUUUCACGGUCCCGCAGGCAGCCGCUUUCUUCCGCACCCUCGGUCUCAGCUCGGACGACAUGGUCGUUCUGCUGGGCGCACACACGGUUGGCGUCACGCACUGCAGCAUGAUCAAGAAGAGCCGUCUUUAUAGCUACGGCGGCAAGGCCGGUGCAACGGACCCGAGCAUGGACCCGGAGCUAGCGUCCACCUAUAAGACAUAUGUGUGCCCCAACACGGCGUCCUCCGACAACAACAUCGUGUUCCUGGACGACCGGUCCAGCGCGUCCAAGCUGGACAACAGCUUCUACAAGAUGCUGCAGCGCCGCCGCGGCGCGCUCAUGGUCGACCAGAACCUCUACAACGAUGGCUCCACACGCUGGAUGGUCGACAGGCUCGCCAACACUGACCACUUCCGCUGGCUCUUCCCGCAGGCGCUCGCCAAGCUGGGGGAGGUCAACGUGCUUACCGGCACACAGGGAGAGGUCCGCAGGGUCUGCACCAAGUUCAACUGA